UACGGGGGGGGCAAGCGUUGUUCGGAAUUACUGGGCGUAAAGGGCUCGUAGGUGGCCAACUAAGUCAGACGUGAAAUCCCUCGGCUUAACCGGGGAACUGCAUCUGAUACUGGAUGGCUUGAGUUCGGGAGAGGGAUGCGGAAUUCCAGGUGUAGCGGUGAAAUGCGUAGAUAUCUGGAGGAACACCGGUGGCGAAAGCGACUUUCUGGUCCUUAACUGACGCUGAGGCGCGAAAGCAUGGGGAGCGAACGGGG
rnacentral:rRNA from 1 species